rnacentral:rRNA from 1 species
CCUACGGGCGGCAGCAGUAGGGAAUUUUCGUCAAUGGGCGCAAGCCUGAACGAGCAAUGCCGCGUGAACGAGGAAGGUCUUCGGAUCGUAACGUUCUGUAGAAGGGUAAAAAGAGCGGAGAGAGGAAAUGCUUUCUGAUUGAUAUUACACUUCGCGGAAGUCACGGAUAACUAAGUGCCAGCAGACGCGGUAAUACGUCGUUGGCGAGCGUUAUCCGGCAUGAUUGGGCUUAAAGGGUGCGUAGUCGGCCUGGUAAGUCUGGAGUGAAAGGUACCGGCUCAACCGGUACAGGCUCUUGAAACUGGCGGGCUAGAGAGCAGGAGAGGGCGGUGGAACUCCAUGUGUAGCGGUAAAAUGCGUAGAUAUAUGGAAGAACACCAGUGGCGAAGGCGGCCGCCUGGCCUGUUACUGACGCUGAGGCACGAAAGCGUGGGGAGCAAAUAGGAUUAGAUACCCCAGUAGUC